AAUAAGAACUCAAUAAGAAGAGAAAAGAAACCUGAACGAGAACAUAAACCUGACCGGAGGGAAAACGAUUGACAGGACUAACGUUAAAUCGAAUGGAUUGAAGACAUCCAGAAGACAAAACUUCAAACAGAACUGCAACUUUCUGAACUGCCUGUACUGCAUCGAAUGCUGGCUUCGGUCAGGUUUUUUUUUUAGU